GCACUGCUAUGGCACUGUUGUGAAAGAAACCAGCCCCUAUCGCGACGUUCAUACAGAAGGGGUGAAGAAUAUUAGGGUCGAGCCAUGUUUGCCGUCGACCCUCGAUGACGAUGACGCUGACUACGAUGAAAAGCAAGUAACCGCUGCACAUGUGUAAGGCAUGAUGUUUAGCUUGGGAUGUGGCUGAUGACGAUUAAGAUUUUUAGGUGGCGUUUCCGUUUCGUCCAGUGGCCAGACGACGGGUACCCCGCAGGUGGCACAACCAUGAGCGUCUAUAGGUUGAUGAAUAAAAAGCACCUCUUCACUGAAUUUUAAGUGUACCCAUGGCUGCUUCACACACAUUCAGGGUUCCUUCUGCAGGGAGAUGUGUGCGACGUUUAUAAGGAAGUCUGUCCAGUGUAAGAUUUAUUGAUGUACGUUUUUCACGAGUGCGCCUAGCUGUUGUUAGAUAAAAAGAACUUUAUUUU